rnacentral:misc_RNA from 1 species
ACGCGCUCGGCUAGCAAUGUGCCUCGGCGGUUCAGCCGGUUUGGGGGUGGAGGUCGUCGUUGUCGGAUCCGAAUGGACCGUGGCGGCGGCCGUCCGCACUCGAGCCGCGGUGCACUCUGCCGGGGUACGCGUCAGCGUCGGUUCGCAGUUCAGGCGAUAAGGCACGGAGGGAAGGUAGCUCCUGGCUUGCCAGGAGCAUUAUAGCCCAUUGUGCUGGGUCUGGUGCGGACCGAGGAGAGAGAGGAUCGCUGCAGCGCAUGCCGCAAGGCUAGCYGCCCGCCGCUCGGUACGCUUCACAGGCUGAGGACUGCACGCAGUGUUCGGCUUGGCGGAGUUGCCAGGCGGUGGAGUGGUAUAAAU